GCCCUAGACGUGGAUGAAGUCCUGCCGUG
rnacentral:piRNA from 1 species